rnacentral:misc_RNA from 1 species
AACGCACAUUGCGCCCAUCAGUAUUCUGGUGGGCAUGCCUGUUCGAGCGUCAUUUCAACCCUUAAGCCUAGCUUAGUGUUGGGAAUCUGCUGUACUGCAGUUCCUUAAAGACAGUGGCGGAGCGGCGGUAGUCCUCCGAGCGUAGUAAUUUAUUUCUCGCUUUUGUCAGGCUCUGUCCUCCCGCCAUAAAACCCCCAAUUUUUUAGUGGUUGACCUCGGAUCAGGUAGGAAUACCCACUGAACUUAA